rnacentral:lncRNA from 1 species
AUGCUCUGGUGCCGUUUUGGCAAGAAACGAACCCAGAAACUACUCGAAACGCCACCCGGCUUACCAGGGGUUAGAGGGCUCUGCAGGGAGGGGCGGAGAGAAAACAGAAAACGUCCACGGCCAGGGCACGCUACCAGCUCCCUGCAGCAUUUACAGCAGGAAUUACUUCUAAAAAAGGGGAAAAAUUACCAAAAAAAGCCGCAGCGCGCUUCGCAGAAAGCUUCCAGGGCCCUAAACAGUGGGAAGAUGAAAGCACGGACGGGAAGCUCCUCGAGAGGAGCGAGAGGAAGGACGCGGCGGGCCGGCCGCAGCCCGCCAACGGAUCCCUGCAGGUGGAGGACGCUUCCCCCUCGGAGUCGACGAGCAGAGAGGCUUAUUUCAGCCGGGUGGAAACCUUCACUAUAUCCUUCCAGCCUCCCCUCUCCCCACUUCACCGUCCCCAAGGGUUCCCUUCGUCUCCCCAGGUUUUUUGUUUUGUUUUGUUUGGUUGGUUGGUUGGUUUUUUUUUGUUUGGUUGGUUUUUGUUUUGUUUUUUCCCCUAGGGACGAGCCGCCCCGUGAGGAACGAGGCGCCUAAAGGCGGUGGAGAUGAGCCGGGGAAUUUUGGGGGGAGGUUUUUUUGUCCUUAACGCCGGGCACCCGCUGAAGUGGGCGGGCAAACCCCAUGAGCUGUCCCCGCUGGUGUGCGCCAGGUACGGCUGGGCCAACGUGGAGUGCGACGUGCUGAAGUGCUCCAGCUGCCAGGCCUUCCUCUGCGCCAGCCUGCAGCUCGCCUUCGACUUCGCCAAGUGUGCGUAUGCCGCGGGCCGGGGCCGGGGGGGAACCUUCCCGGGUGCGGGGUUUGGGAUUCCGCGCCCCAACGGAGCCCGUGGGCCCGCCUGGGUGGCGCUGGGCGCUUCCGUCCCUGAAAACGGAUCCGAUAAAGCUCCCGGGGUUCGCGGCGGCGCUCUCGGAGGCGGGUUUCCAGGCUCCCUGCUCCGCUGCUCUGGUCCUCCGCUGGUUUUUCUUAAUUAAAAAAGACCUUGGCUUGAUUGAAACGACUUUGGCUUGAUUGAAAAGACUUUGAUUUGAUUGAAAAGACUUUGGCUUGAUCGAAAAGACCUUAAACUUUUCUUAAUUAAGAAGACCGGGGGGCUGCUGGCCCUGCCGGCCUGUGCAGGCGCUCACCUCGCGUGAUUUAACCCCGAAAGCCCCCCGCUGCCCUAUUUGCGCCGGGUUGGAUUGCCAGGGCUGUCCUGGUGCUGGCUCCCGAGCCCGAACCCUGCCCAAACUCUGAUUUUCC